UUGAGGCAGGAGGCCGCCAAGCUGAGGCCGCAAACCGACACGGAGGAGCUCCCGUCCUGCACCUCGCACAGCCGGGUCACGCGCUUGUUCUCACCUGCGGCGGAGACAAAAGAGGAUGAGCGAACAAAGCGUCCGCGUCCGCCUCUGUGGGCAAUCGUGGUCACUUGCUCACCCACUGCCAGGCUGUCGCACGCUUUCUUAUAGCGCUCCGGGAGAGGAGGCAGAUCCCAGGAGGAAACCUCCGCCAGAACCUACAGCAGCACAACACAGCUUUAGAAAGAGUGAAAGCAACAUUAGAAAAAAGAUACUGGACCUGCUUGAGGUUCCCGUCUAUACAAGCUCGGUGCAGAGUUGUCUCGCCCUUCUCGUUCCUCUUGUUCCACUGGAGUAGAAAACAGAUACAAAAAGGAGCAGAAGAUGUCCUCGAGCGCAGAAUUCCAGUUCUACCUGAGUCUGAGAGGACGACGUCGCUGUCAUCCAGAGGUUCACUGUUGUCCAUCUCCUCC